UGAUUAGUGGCGGACGGGUGAGUAACAUUUAGGAAUCUACCUAGUAGUGGGGGAUAGCUCGGGGAAACUCGAAUUAAUACCGCAUACGACCUACGGGUGAAAGGGGGCGCAAGCUCUUGCUAUUAGAUGAGCCUAAAUCAGAUUAGCUAGUUGGUGGGGUAAAGGCCCACCAAGGCGACGAUCUGUAACUGGUCUGAGAGGAUGAUCAGUCACACCGGAACUGAGACACGGUCCGGACUCCUACGGGAGGCAGCAGUGGGGAAUAUUGGACAAUGGGGGCAACCCUGAUCCAGCCAUGCCGCGUGUGUGAAGAAGGCCUUUUGGUUGUAAAGCACUUUAAGCAGGGAGGAGAGGCUAAUGGUUAAUACCCAUUAGAUUAGACGUUACCUGCAGAAUAAGCACCGGCUAACUCUGUGCCAGCAGCCGCGGUAAUACAGAGGGUGCGAGCGUUAAUCGGAAUUACUGGGCGUAAAGCGAGUGUAGGUGGCUCAUUAAGUCACAUGUGAAAUCCCCGGGCUUAACCUGGGAACUGCAUGUGAUACUGGUGGUGCUAGAAUAUGUGAGAGGGAAGUAGAAUUCCAGGUGUAGCGGUGAAAUGCGUAGAGAUCUGGAGGAAUACCGAUGGCGAAGGCAGCUUCCUGGCAUAAUAUUGACACUGAGAUUCGAAAGCGUGGGUAGCAAACAGGAUUAGAUACCCCUGGUAGUCCACGCCGUAAACGAUGUCUACUAGCCGUUGGGGUCCUUGAGACUUUAGUGGCGCAGUUAACGCGAUAAGUAGACCGCCUGGGGAGUACGGCCGCAAGGUUA
rnacentral:rRNA from 1 species